UAAUGCGUAGGAAGCUACCCGAUAGAGGGGGAUACCAGUUGGAAACGACUGUUAAUACCGCAUAAUGUCUACGGACCAAAGUGUGGGACCUUCGGGCCACAUGCUAUCGGAUGCGCCUACGUGGGAUUAGCUAGUUGGUGAGGUAAUGGCUCACCAAGGCGACGAUCCCUAGCUGGUUUGAGAGGAUGAUCAGCCACACUGGAACUGAGACACGGUCCAGACUCCUACGGGAGGCAGCAGUGGGGAAUAUUGGACAAUGGGCGCAAGCCUGAUCCAGCCAUGCCGCGUGUGUGAAGAAGGCCUUCGGGUUGUAAAGCACUUUCAGUAGGGAGGAAGCGUUGUGUGUUAAUAGUACACAGCGUUGACGUUACCUACAGAAGAAGCACCGGCUAACUCUGUGCCAGCAGCCGCGGUAAUACAGAGGGUGCAAGCGUUAAUCGGAAUUACUGGGCGUAAAGCGCACGUAGGCGGUUUUUUAAGUCAGAUGUGAAAGCCCCGGGCUCAAC
rnacentral:rRNA from 1 species